rnacentral:lncRNA from 1 species
UCCAUGACCGUGGACACGGCUAAUCGAUUAGGUUGGGUACUCUGCAGAGUUUUGCACACGUUCCCCACAAGAUUUGAUCGCCUCCGGGUUUGUCCUCGCACUUCAAGGUGUUUGAAGACCGGAUGAUCAAAACAUGGUCUUUCAACGGGUCCCUCUGAAUCCCUUUCGGUGCCCAUCCAUUCCUACCGUUCGUCUACAUCUGCUAGCACCGCCUGUCCAGAGUCGCCGCGUUGUCCAACCAAGCCAGAGCCCAUAAUGACUUGUGGCUGUGCAGGUAAGCCUUGAGUCUUGAAGUCUCCGUCCGUCCCUUUGAGCCUGGGUGAAGCUUUCCGCAGGAUGACAUGGCCUCUCCAGCAUCCCGGGCAUCCACUGGGUUUUCCAGCGAGCCGGUCAACCGUCCUUCACCCAGUGUUGCAUUGCGUCCGAGGUCUUGAAAAUCUUGUCUUAGUCCGGUCUUGAUUAUUAUAUCAACCUCGCAUCACUCGUGGAAUACACUCAACCGAUAACCCGUCUACUAGAGCAUAGCAUAUAUAACAUUGUCGUCCCGGGGCCAAGUAUCGGGGUGUUGUGUUCCUACCACAUGAAU